GAUGAAGAACGUAGCGAAAUGCGAUACGUAAUGUGAAUUGCAGAAUUCAGUGAAUCAUCGAAUCUUUGAACGCAUAUUGCGCUCUCUGGUAUUCCGGAGAGCAUGCUUGUUUGAGUAUCAGUAAACACCUCAACUCCCUUUUCUUUUUUGAAAUUGGAGCUGGACUUGAGUGAUCCCAACGCUUUCUUCCAAGAAAGUGGCGGGUUGCUUGAAAUGCAGGUGCAGCUGAACUUUUCUCUGAGCUAUAAGCAUAUCUAUUUAGUCUGCCUAAAAAACAGAUUAUUACCUGUGCUGCAGCUAACAUAAAGGAGACUAGUUCUUGUGCUGACUGAUGCAGGAUUCACAGAGACAGCUUCGGCUGACUUUGUAAACUCGAUCUCAAAUCAAGUAAGACUACCCGCUGAACUUAAGCAUAUCAAUAAGCGGAGGA
rnacentral:misc_RNA from 1 species